GCAUUUGUAGUCCAACGGUUAGGAUAAUUGCCUUUCUAGCAAUAGAUCGGGUUCGACUCCCGGCUGACGCA
rnacentral:tRNA from 1 species